rnacentral:rRNA from 1 species
GACGAACGCUGGCGGCGUGCUUAACACGUGCAAGUCGAACGAUGAAGCCUUAGCUUGCUUUGGUGGAUUAGUGGCGAACGGGUGAGUAACACGUGAGCAACGUGCCCAGGACUCUGGAAUAACCGCGGGAAACCGUGGCUAAUACCGGAUAGGUGCCGAGGCCGCAUGGUCUUCGGUUGGAAAGUUUUUGCGGUUCUGGAUCGGCUCACGGCCUAUCAGCUUGUUGGUGGGGUAAUGGCCUACCAAGGCGACGACGGGUAGCCGGCCUGAGAGGGUGACCGGCCACACUGGGACUGAGACACGGCCCAGACUCCUACGGGAGGCAGCAGUGGGGAAUAUUGCACAAUGGGCGCAAGCCUGAUGCAGCAACGCCGCGUGGGGGAUGACGGCCUUCGGGUUGUAAACCUCUUUUAGUAGGGAAGAAGCGCAAGUGACGGUACCUGCAGAAAAAGCACCGGCUAACUACGUG